rnacentral:lncRNA from 1 species
UUUAUAUGUGCAACUUCAUCUACUACAAUGCACGUGAAAUACAAUGUAUUGUGAACACCAUAACCUCCUUCAUAGGGCCUUAAGAUUCCCAAUUACUUCCACAUAUUUACUACAGUUGUAUCUCAAUUGACCAUUGUGGUGAAAGGGCCUCUAGCUGACUUGGUUAGGUGGUCUGAGUAGCACUCCUUGUUAGACUGUGUGUGUGAGUGUGUGGGUCGGCACCACUGUUGGGUUGCCGGCCCAUUAGGGUUAGGUUGAGUCUAUAUAUUGUACCCAUUCUCUAUGCAAUACAGCACUUCAAUUAUUCUACAUGGUAUCAAAGGAUUAGGUUUAGGGUUUUUUCUCCCACCUCCCACUGCAGCCGCCGUCGGCUUCCUCCCACCCCACAGCCGCCACCUGCCAUCGCUGCCCCCGGGAGGCCCUGCCUUCCCUCCCGGGGGCGGCCUCCCACCUCCAUCCAGCCACCGUACACCAUCUCUCCCAUGGCACCUCCCCUGCGAGCAGCUCCUCCAGGGAGCACGGUCUCCCUCCAGCCGCUCCUCUCCUCCCCUCGACGCAGCAGGCAGAGCAGCUCCUCCGUUCGUCCCAGCCAUGGUCGUCGGUCUCCCUCAAGCUCCCUUGGCCGACUACCUGGAGGCCCCGGCCCCGGCGGCGGCGCAGGACGAGGCGUCGCGGAGGCCGUUCGUGGGGGUGAUGACGGAGGAGAAGGCUCGGGAGCUGCGGGCGUGGCUGCCCAGCCUCGGCGCGGCAGCCCCCGGCUCCGACGGCGCGCGGCGCGGGUGCGCGUGUCCCUUGCGCGGGCGUGCCCACCCCGGCCCCGACGCGGGCAACAGCCCGGCGGAAGCUCCGCGCGUUGCCCGGUGCUGCGGCUUCUUCCUGCGGCGGGAGGAGGCCAGGAAGCCCGGCGUGCGGUCGUGCCCGCCGAAGACCGCCACGCUCUCCUCCACCCGUCCGGCUCCCUUGCGGCCAGCCCUCUUCCCCCCUCUCCGGCGUCCGCGCCCCCUGCGCAGCCCCUCCCCAGCGGUUGCGGCCUCUCCCGGCGGCGCGGUUCCCCAUGGCGCGCCGGAGCAGCCCCUCUGCUCGCGCGCUCUCUCCUACUCUCCCUCGCUCGGCGCCCGAGCUCCUCCACUCCAGCUCCUGCUCGUCCGGCUCCCCCUGCUGCGCGGCCCCUGCCGGCGACCCUCCCUGGCGCGGCGCCCCCAAGCCGCCGCAGUCGGUCCGCUGCCCUCCCCUUUUCCCUCAUGUCGGCCAGCCCCUCCCCUUCCCUGGUUGCACGCAUGCCGCCUCACUGGCCGUGGGCGCGGCCCUCCCCUUCCCGGCCUCCCAAGCCGUCGCCACCGGAUCCGCGCGCCCUUGUGUCUGCGUCGCUAGAUUCGCGAGCCUAGUGUCGAUCACCUCGACCAGCAGCACCCAGUAGCACCACCCUUCGAACUUCUCCCGUCGCCGGUGCUGCCAACACCCCUUGCCAGGUCCGGCGCAGGCCCCUGCUCGGCUGGACCCGCCCCGUCGCCCUCCCCCUUCAUCGUCGUCAUCGUUGGUUCUGUCGCUGCCGCGGCCUCCCCGGCCGGAUCCACGUUGCUGCGGCCUUCUCGGCUAGAUCCGCCAUCCCUUUGGCCGGAUCGCCGUCUUCAUGGCUGGAUUCGUCGCUGCCGUGGCCUUCCCGGCCGGAUCCACCGAUACCCCUUCUACUCUGCAGCGGGCGCGGACACCCUGACCGGCGCAGACGCGUGCGCUGCCGUCGGCCUCCCUGGCGAGUCUCCUUGACGCCUGGACGAUCGAAGAAGCAGGAAGGUCGGCCUGCUGGUGCCCUUUUGUUGUGUCGCCCUGCCGAUCGUUGACGCUCGAACGUCGACCCCUCCCGAAGAUCAGGCUUUUGCUGCGCGUCUUCCGACCGCGACCACCUCGACUUCGGCUACCUCGACAUCUAGGGGCUAUCCAGCUGCAACGGUCUCUACUCUAGCCGCAACAUUCGCACCAUCACGACGCUGCGACUGCGGGGGGAUUUCAACCCGUCGGCUCCUACCUUCGGCCUCUACUCCAGUCUCAUCGUGUGUGGUGCCCCCGUUGCGACUGCGGGGGGAUGUUAGACUGUGUGUGUGAGUGUGUGGGUCGGCACCACUGUUGGGUUGCCGGCCCAUUAUGGUUAGGGCCCAUUAGGGUUAGGUUGAGUCUAUAUAUUGUACCCAUUCUCUAUGCAAUACAGCACUUCAAUUAUUCUACACUCCUCAAGUCCUAGGUUCACUUCCCGUGGAAGCGAAUUUCAGGUUAUGGUUAAAAAAAUCCUCUCGUCUGUUCGCGGUCGUUCACAUGGGCUACGAUGUAGCUGUGCAUGGGUGGGGCAAGGGUUCGAAGGUUUUCACGACUGAGAAAGUCUUCUUCUUAUAAUAAUGCUCGGGGGUUGUCUUAC